rnacentral:rRNA from 1 species
UACGUAGGGUGCAAGCGUUAAUCGGAAUUACUGGGCGUAAAGCGUGCGCAGGCGGUUAUGUAAGACAGGUGUGAAAUCCCCGGGCUUAACCUGGGAAUUGCAUUUGUGACUGCAUGGCUAGAGUGGUGUCAGAGGGGGGGUAGAAUUCCACGUGUAGCAGUGAAAUGCGUAGAUAUGUGGAGGAAUACCGAUGGGCGAAGGCAGCCCCCCUGGGAUAACACUGACGCUCAUGCACGAAAGCGUGGGGAGCAAACAGG